CCUACGGGUGGCAGCAGUGGGGAAUAUUGCACAAUGGGGGAAACCCUGAUGCAGCGACGCCGCGUGAGUGAAGAAGGAAUUCGUUAUGUAAAGCUCUAUCAGCAGGGAAGAAAAUGACGGUACCUGAGCAAGAAGCCGCGGCUAACUACGUGCCAGCAGCCGCGGUAAUACGUAGGGAGAAAGCGUUAGCCGGAGUUACUGGGGUUAAAGGGAGCGUAGGCGGCAGUGCAAGUCUGGAGUGAAAGGCGGCGGCUCAACCCUGGGACUGCUCUUGAUACUGGUCGGCUGGAGUGCGGGAGAGGGAAGUGGAAUUCCAGGUGUAGAGGUGAAAUGCGUAGAUAUGAAGAGGAACACCAGUGGCGAAGGCGGCUUACUGGACUGUAACUGACGUUGAGGCGCGAAAGCGUGGGGAGCAAACAGGAUUAGAUACCCGUGUAGUC
rnacentral:rRNA from 1 species